AUUGAACGCUGGCGGCAGGCCUAACACAUGCAAGUCGAACGAGAGGCGGACGGGUGAGUAAUGUCUGGGAAACUGACCGAUGGAGGGGGAUAACUACUGGAAACGGUAGCUAAUACCGCAUACCAUCGGAUGUGCCCAGAUGGGAUUAGCUAGUAGGUGGGGUAAUGGCUCACCUAGGCGACGCUCUAUAGCUGGUCUGAGAGUAUGACCAGCCACACUGGAACUGAGACACGGGCCAGACUCCGACGGGAGGCAGCAGGGGGGAAUAUUGCACAAUGGGCGCAAGCCUGAUGCAGCCAUGCCGAGUGUGUGAAGAAGGCCUUCGGGUUGUAAAGCACUUUCAGCGGGGAGGCGUUACCCGCAGAAGAAGCACCGGCUAACUCCGUGCCAGCAGCCGCGGUAAUAC
rnacentral:rRNA from 1 species